AGCGAACGCUGGCGGCAGGCCUAACACAUGCAAGUCGAACGAAGUCUUCGGACUUAGUGGCGGACGGGUGAGUAACACGUGGGAACGUGCCUUUAGGUUCGGAAUAACUCAGGGAAACUUGUGCUAAUACCGAAUGUGCCCUUCGGGGGAAAGAUUUAUCGCCUUUAGAGCGGCCCGCGUCUGAUUAGCUAGUUGGUGAGGUAAAGGCUCACCAAGGCUACGAUCAGUAGCUGGUCUGAGAGGAUGACCAGCCACAUUGGGACGGAGACACGGCCCAAACUCCGACGGGAGGCAGCAGUGGGGAAUCUUGCGCAAUGGGCGAAAGCCUGACGCAGCCAUGCCGCGUGGAUGAUGAAGGUCUUAGGAUUGUAAAAUCCUUUCACCGGUGAAGAUAAUGACUGUAGCCGGAGAAGAAGCCCCGGCUAACUUCGUGCCAGCAGCCGCGGUAAUAC
rnacentral:rRNA from 1 species